GAUUUCUGGUUAAGUAACGCUAGCCCGCCCUUGCCAGGGGUGUGCGCUGGUUAGUUGCUUGCCAUCUUUCUAGAAAGCCAGCAGCUGUCAUUCACUUGGCGGCUGUGACGCGAUCUAGAUCUUUUACUUUGAAAAAAUUAGAGUGUUUAAAGCAGGCUUUUGCUAUGAAUACAUUAGCAUGGAAUAAUAAUUUAGGACUUUCUUCCUAUUUUAUUGGUUUCUAGGACUAAAGUAAUGAUUGAUAGGGAUAGUUGGGGGUGCUAGUAUUCAGCGGCCAGAGGUGAAAUUCUUGGAUUCGCUGAAGACUAACUUAUGCGAAAGCAUU
rnacentral:rRNA from 1 species